CAAUCAUAGCUCACUGCAGCCUCAACCUCCUGGGCUCAAGCGAUCUUCCUGUCUCAGCCUCCUGAGUAGUUGGGACUACAGGUGUGCACUACCAUGCCUGGCUAAUUUAAAAAUAUAUAUAUAUAUUUGUAGAGACAGGGUCUCUGAGUCUUUCUAUGUUCCCCAGGCUAGUCUUGAACUCCUGGGCUCAAGCAAUCCUCCUAUCUCAGCCUCCCAAAGUGCUGGAGUUACAGGCAUGAGCCAUUGUGCCCAGCCUCAACUUUUCAAAGAUCAGCAGUCAGAGAGCUCCGCUGUGAAGUCCAGCUUCUUUCAGGCUGGCUAUCUUUGUGUGUCUGUGUUCAUUUCCGCAGCCAGUUCACAUUCAGUCUCUGUUGUUGGCUGGCUGUGUGGGCCUUUGGCAAAUUUCUGAAGCCUCCCAGGCCUCAGUCUCUGCAUCUCUAAAGUGGGGCUAUUAUGAUCAGCCCCUUCAUCACAGAGAUGUAGUGGGAAGUAAAUAAAUGAAUCUACAGCACUUAAGAAAAUGCCUGACUCAGAAAGGCCUCUGUAAACGUCAUCUAUCAGCAGCAGCAUCAUGUUUUGGCUGGGGCAGGCAGUGGGGGCGACAGAACGAGCUCUGGGGCCCUACCAGAAGAUUAGGGGAUGAACGCAGCUUGCAAGGCCAAAGCUGUCCCCAUUUGGUUUUGCCAGCUCUUGCUCAUCCAUGAAAUAAACCGGAUGAAGCCUUCAUCCAGCCCUUGUUUUGAGAAGGAGGCAAGCAGAGAGCGUGGAUUUAAUGUGGCAGAUGGUGCUGUCCUUGAAUUAUGAAACCAAAGGAGGAAAUUAAAGUGCUCCAUUGCAACAGAUAUGGGCCAGCCGGGGCAGAAGGCAGGAGGUGGGGCAGAAAGGAGGGCAGGAAGGAGGUGCUGUAUCAACUGGGCAAUGGCUAUUUUCAAGGGUAGCUGGAGUCCUAAGAUAAUAGAAUUCCGUAGCCCCAUAUAAUUUUAGAAUCUUCAUCUUACAUAGGCAAAUGAGGCUCAGAGAGGGAAAGUGACUGUGAAGGUCACACAGCCAGUUAGUGGCAGAGCAACUCACACGUCCUGAUUCCUUGAACAGUAUUAUUUUCUGCUGCCCCAAGCCAAGGCCAGUGGCAGACCCUGUCUCAGGGCUUCCUGAUUUUGGGCAGCUCUGCUUUUCAGAGGACUUCUCUGGACAGGCACCCAGUGUCCAAAGAGAACCCAGGGUCAGGCAGCACAAUCCCAGGGGCUUCUCUGCAGCUGCUCUCCUCCCAGCACACAGGGAGAUACCAGCCACCGUCCCGGAGCCAUUCGGCCUGGGUCUGAAGCCCAGCAACCCGAGCUCAUUCUGAUGAAGCAAGCUGCCACGCUGUGAGCUGCACUAUGGAAAGGCCCAUGCUGCAUGGCACUGAGGAGGCUCCAGCCAGCAGCCGAUGAGGAGCUGGAUCCUGCCAGCCGCCACGUGAGUGAGCUGGGAAGCAGAUCCAACCCCAUAUCAGCACUGAGAUGGUCACAGCCCCACGGACAGCCUGCUUGCAGCCUUGUGAGGGACCUUGAGCCUGAGGACCCAGCUAAGCCACACCCAGCUUCUCAACCCAGAGAAACAGUGAGAUGAUAAACUGAGCUGGCUUUUAAGCCACUAAGUUUUGGGGUAAUUUGUGACACCGUAAUGGAUAAUUAGUACAGCCAGUAACAUAGGCAGAUAUGAGACAGUGCAAAAUAUUUUAGAUUUUAGUGGUUAUCCUUUGGGUUUUAGAGUUCUCCAGGUAGGUUCUCAACCUGGUACCCACAUGUAAUCCAUCUGAGCUUCUGGUUCUGAACCUUCCUGAUGCGUAAAAUCUAUGUAUCAUCUGAAGUUGGAUGAAAACCGAUGUUGCUUUAUUAACAUCGAGGUGGUAGGUGGGCAAUGGGAGGUUGAAAACGUCGGGGACUAACCUCAACUGACAACCUAUUGGACUCUGGCCCUUGCAGGAUAUUUUGCUGAGCGUUCAAGUAUCUCACUGAUCCUUAAGGGUAUCCAUGAAUCCUGAGAUGUGCAGUUAAGUAACUCACCCAGGAAUAGCCAGCCAGCCAGAGGUGUGGCCAGGACCUUCCUGCAGCUCUGCCUCUGAGACCACCUGUAUGCCACAGGGUUCUGACCUUACUCUCACCAGUGGCCCUUUCCAGAAACAGCUGGUCCACUGAGUGAGGACUGACGGUGGAGAAGGCAGAAAACCUGAGAUACUUUAUUGUUCCUGGGGAAAUAUGCCCAGGAAACCUUUCCAGGGAAGUUGAAGAAGCUGCAUGUUGGCUAUGGCAGAGGUGACAUUCUGCCAUUGCUCUCUACUAACAGAACCCCUAUUAUUACUGGGAGCGUCUACCUGCCCCAUAAAUUUCCCAGCCCCUCUUGCCAUAGAGGGUACCCAAUAAGAUGUAAGUUGAAGUCAUUGGGAGAAGCUUCCGGUAAAGAUUUUUUAAAGUGCUGACUCAUCUGAGAGGUGCCUCCUCUUGCACUGCUUGCCCCUUCUUGGUGCCAGGAAUGUGGACAUAAUGGCUGGAGCUGCAGUAGCGUUUCAUGACCAUGCAGUGACCUUGACAGAGGAAGCCACUCUCUAAGGGUAGCAGAGCACAAAGAUAGAGCCUUGUCUUCUUGGAAGGGAUGACUGAGGAGCCAUCAUUCUAGCCUUUGACUUUUUGCAUCAGGAUUUAUUUUAUAUGAGAG
rnacentral:lncRNA from 1 species